AACGAACGCUGGCGGCAUGCCUAACACAUGCAAGUCGAACGAAGUCUUCGGACUUAGUGGCGCACGGGUGCGUAACGCGUGGGAAUCUGCCCUUGGGUACGGAAUAACAGUGAGAAAUUACUGCUAAUACCGUAUGAUGUCGUAGGACCACAGAUUUAUAGCACAAGGAUGAGCCCGCGUAGGAUUAGCUAGUUGGUGAGGUAAAGGCUCACCAAGGCGACGAUCCUUAGCUGGGCUGAGAGGAUGAUCAGCCACACUGGGACUGAGACACGGCCCAGACUCCUACGGGAGGCAGCAGUGGGGAAUAUUGGACAAUGGGCGAAAGCCUGAUCCAGCAAUGCCGCGUGAGUGAUGAAGGCCCUAGGGUUGUAAAGCUCUUUUACCCGGGAAGAUAAUGACUGUACCGGGAGAAUAAGCCCCGGCUAACUCCGUGCCAGCCGCCGCGGUAA
rnacentral:rRNA from 1 species